CAUCACUACGCUAGAUGCAUAUCAAUAAGCGGAGGAAAAGAAACUAACAAGGAUUCCCCUAGUAACGGCGAGUGAAGCGGGAAGAGCUCAAAUUUGAAAUCUUAAAGGGUUUCCCUUUACGAAUUGUAGUUUAAAGAAGUGUUUUCUGUUGGAGUUUCGGUAAAAGUUCUUUGGAAUAGGACAUCAUAGAGGGUGAGAAUCCCGUAUUUGACCGUUACUUUCCAGCUGUGUGAUACACUUUCAAAGAGUCGGAUUGUUUGGGAAUGCAGUCCAAAAUGGGUGGUAAAUUUCAUCUAAAGCUAAAUAUUGGCGAGAGACCGAUAGCGAACAAGUACCGUGAGGGAAAGAUGAAAAGAACUUUGAAAAGAGAGUUAAACAGUACGUGAAAUUGUCAAAAGGGAAGCGUUUGACACCAGUGUUGUUUAGUUGAAAAUCAAUUCAAUAUUUUUCGAUUUUAAGUAGUAUUGACUUCAUCAGCUUGCUGCUUUCUUUCUCGGAAAUUAUUUAAUGCACUUUUCAGUUAACAAGUCAACAUCAAUUUCUUUUGUUGUAAAAGGGUAAGAGGAAGGUGGCUUACGCUUCGGCGUCAAGUGUUUAUAGCCUUUUACCCUCUGCAAUCGGAGAGAUUGAGGAUCAGCAGCGUAGACUCCUUCGGGGUUAGAUACACUUGUGCUAAGCUAUAGCCUUGUAUAGACAACUUGUUGACUAUGCUCAGUCAUGUAGCUUACUCGCUUAUGCUAUUUUACCUACGCUUAGGAUGUUGAUAGUCACAGCGUGUAC
rnacentral:rRNA from 1 species